CCUACGGGGGGCAGCAGUGGGGAAUAUUGCACAAUGGGGGAAACCCUGAUGCAGCGACGCCGCGUGAGUGAAGAAGUAUUUCGGUACGUAAAGCUCUAUCAGCAGGGAAGAAAAUGACGGUACCUGACUAAGAAGCACCGGCUAACUACGUGCCAGCAGCCGCGGUAAUACGUAGGGGGCAAGCGUUAUCCGGAUUUACUGGGUGUAAAGGGAGCGUAGACGGCAGCGCAAGUCUGGAGUGAAAUCCCAUGGCUUAACCAUGGAACUGCUUUGGAAACUGUGCAGCUAGAGUGCAGGAGAGGUAAGCGGAAUUCCGAGUGUAGCGGUGAAAUGCGUAGAUAUUAGGAGGAACACCAGUGGCGAAGGCGGCUUACUGGACUGUAACUGACGUUGAGGCUCGAAAGCGUGGGGAGCAAACAGGAUUAGAUACCCCGGUAGUC
rnacentral:rRNA from 1 species